rnacentral:tRNA from 1 species
UGCAGGUUCGGGACGGGAAGAAGAUCGCCGCGUUGGGUGCGGCGCUGCGGCCGUUUCCGGCGGUGGCUGCCCGGUUCGAUGUCGGGGACUGCUC